rnacentral:rRNA from 1 species
AGAGUUUGAUCCUGGCUCAGGAUGAACGCUAGCGGCAGGCUUAACACAUGCAAGUCGAGGGGUAGAAGGCUUCGGCCUUUGAGACCGGCGCACGGGUGCGUAACGCGUAUGCAAUCUGCCUUACACUAAGGGAUAGCCCAGAGAAAUUUGGAUUAAUACCUUAUAGUAUAUAUGAUGUGGCAUCACAUUAAUAUUAAAGAUUUAUCGGUGUAAGAUGAGCAUGCGUCCCAUUAGCUAGUUGGUAUGGUAACGGCAUACCAAGGCAAUGAUGGGUAGGGGUCCUGAGAGGGAGAUCCCCCACACUGGUACUGAGACACGGACCAGACUCCUACGGGAGGCAGCAGUGAGGAAUAUUGGUCAAUGGGCGCAAGCCUGAACCAGCCAUGCCGCGUGCAGGAUGAAGCAUCUAUGGUGUGUAAACUGCUUUUAUACAGGAAGAAACCCCUUUACGUGUAGAGGAUUGACGGUACUGUAGGAAUAAGGACCGGCUAACUCCGUGCCAGCAGCCGCGGUAAUACGGAGGGUCCAAGCGUUAUCCGGAAUCAUUGGGUUUAAAGGGUCCGUAGGCGGUUUUGUAAGUCAGUGGUGAAAUCCGGCAGCUUAACUGUCGAACUGCCAUUGAUACUGCAGGACUUGAAUUACUGUGAAGUAACUAGAAUAUGUAGUGUAGCGGUGAAAUGCUUAGAUAUUACAUGGAAUACCAAUUGCGAAGGCAGGUUACUAACAUUAUAUUGACGCUGAUGGACGAAAGCGUGGGUAGCGAACAGGAUUAGAUACCCUAGUAGUCC